UACGUCCUACGGGAGGCAGCAGUGAGGGAUAUUGCACAAUGGGGGAAACCCUGAUGCAGCGACGCCGCGUGAGCGAUGAAGUAUUUCGGUAUGUAAAGCUCUAUCAGCAGGGAAGAAAAUGACGGUACCCGACUAAGAAGCCCCGGCUAACUACGUGCCAGCAGCCGCGGUAAUACGUAGGGGGCAAGCGUUAUCCGGAUUUACUGGGUGUAAAGGGAGCGUAGACGGUUGUGCAAGCCAGAUGUGAAAGCCCGGGGCUCAACCCUGGGACUGCAUUUGGAACUGUGUGGCUGGAGUGUCGGAGG
rnacentral:rRNA from 1 species